rnacentral:rRNA from 1 species
UACGGAGGGUGCCAGCGUUAUCCGGAUUCACUGGGUUUAAAGGGCGCGCAGGCGGACUGGUAAGUCAGUGGUGAAAGCCCUGGGCUCAACCCGGGAACUGCCAUUGAUACUAGCAGUCUUGAAUAUCGUUGAGGUUUGCGGAAUGGGUCAUGUAGCGGUGAAAUGCAUAGAUAUGACCCGGAACACCUAUUGCGAAGGCAGCAGGCUAAGCGAAGAUUGACGCUGAGGCUCGAAAGCGUGGGGAUCAAACAGG